CCUACGGGAGACAGCAGUGGGGAAUAUUGCACAAUGGGGGAAACCCUGAUGCAGCGACGCCGCGUGAGUGAAGAAGUAUUUCUGUAUGUAAAGCUCUAUCAGCAGGGAAGAAAAUGACGGUACCUGACUAAGAAGCCCCGGCUAACUACGUGCCAGCAGCCGCGGUAAUACGUAGGGGGCAAGCGUUAUCCGGAUUUACUGGGUGUAACGGGAGCGUAGACGGCAGAGCAAGUCUGAAGUGAAAGCCCGCGGCCCAACUGCGGGACUGCUUUGGAAACUGCCCGGCUAGAGUGCGGGAGAGGUAAGCGGAAUUCCUAGUGUAGCGGUGAAAUGCGUAGAUAUUAGGAGGAACACCAGUGGCGAAGGCGGCUUACUGGACAGUAACUGACGUUGAGGCUCGAAAGCGUGGGGAGCAAACAGGAUUAGAUACCCGAGUAGUC
rnacentral:rRNA from 1 species